UGACAUGGAAGUUGUCAGGUUGUCAGGCUUA
rnacentral:piRNA from 1 species